GAUGAACGCUGGCGGCGUGCUUAACACAUGCAAGUCGAACGAUGAAGCCCAGCUUGCUGGGUGGAUUAGUGGCGAACGGGUGAGUAACACGUGAGUAACCUGCCCUUGACUCUAGGAUAAGCCCGGGAAACUGGGUCUAAUACUGGAUAGGAACGUCUACCGCAUGGUGGGUGUUGGAAAGAAUUUCGGUCAUGGAUGGACUCGCGGCCUAUCAGCUUGUUGGUGAGGUAAUGGCUCACCAAGGCGACGACGGGUAGCCGGCCUGAGAGGGUGACCGGCCACACUGGGACUGAGACACGGCCCAGAGUCAUACGGGAGGCAGCAGUGGGGAAUAGUGCAAAAUGGGCGAAAGCCGGAUGGAGCGACGCCGCGUGAGGGAUGACGGCCUUCGGGUUGUAAACCUCUUUCAGUAGGGAAGAAGCGAAAGUGACGGUACCUGCAGAAGAAGCACCGGCUAACUACGU
rnacentral:rRNA from 1 species